AGCUGCCUCCCAGAAUCUCCUAUCGCUUCCUAGACCUGGCCAGGAGCUGGAACUGCAAUGUCCCGGGAAAGAGUCACUCCAUGCCUUACACCAUGGUCCCCACUCCCUGCUGCACCUACAGGAGUUCUGCUGCUAUGUCUACUUAAAGGUGGUCUGUUGGUGUUGAGGCAAGGCUUUGUUCCCCAGGUAUCCAGGGAAGAGCACAAGAGAAAGCCCAGAGUGUGAAAGAGAGAGACAACCCUGUCGUAAGCUUCUCCGGACCUGCCUCUGCCAAAUCGGACGCUCUCCUCACUCUGCCAUCUCCACCUCUCAACUGGAAGAAAGAAGCCAGGAAAUUCCUUUUAUGGUUAGAGAUGAGUACC